rnacentral:rRNA from 1 species
GAUGAACGCUGGCGGCGUGCCUAAUACAUGCAAGUCGAGCGAACGGACGAGAAGCUUGCUUCUCUGAUGUUAGCGGCUGACGGGUGAGUAACACGUGGAUAACCUACCUAUAAGACUGGGAUAACUUCGGGAAACCGGAGCUAAUACCGGAUGAUAUUUUGAACCGCAUGGUUCAAAAGUGAAAGACUGUCUUGCUGUCACUUAUAGAUGGAUCCGCGCUGCAUUAGCUAGUUGGUAAGGUAACGGCUUACCAAGGCAACGAUGCGUAGCCGACCUGAGAGGGUGAUCGGCCACACUGGAACUGAGACACGGUCCAGACUCCUACGGGAGGCAGCAGUAGGGAAUCUUCUGCAAUGGGCGAAAGCCUGACGGAGCAACGCCGCGUGAGUGAUGAAGGUCUUCGGAUCGUAAAACUCUGUUAUUAGGGAAGAAAAGAUGUGUAAGUAACUGCGCACAUCUUGACGGUACCUAAUGAGAAAGCCACGGCUAACUACGUG